rnacentral:rRNA from 1 species
GGUGAAAAGCACCCCGGAAGGGGAGUGAAAUAGAACCUGAAACCGUGUGCUUACAAGUAGUCAGAGCCCGUUAAUGGGUGAUGGCGUGCCUUUUGUAGAAUGAACCGGCGAGUUACGAUUUGAUGCAAGGUUAAGCAGUAAAUGUGGAGCCGUAGCGAAAGCGAGUCUGAAUAGGGCGUUUAGUAUUUGGUCGUAGACCCGAAACCAGGUGAUCUACCCUUGGUCAGGUUGAAGUUCAGGUAACACUGAAUGGAGGACCGAACCGACUUACGUUGAAAAGUGAGCGGAUGAACUGAGGGUAGCGGAGAAAUUCCAAUCGAACCUGGAGAUAGCUGGUUCUCUCCGAAAUAGCUUUAGGGCUAGCCUCAAGUGAUGAUUAUUGGAGGUAGAGCACUGUUUGGACGAGGGGCCCCUCUCGGGUUACCGAAUUCAGACAAACUCCGAAUGCCAAUUAAUUUAACUUGGGAGUCAGAACAUGGGUGAUAAGGUCCGUGUUCGAAAGGGAAACAGCCCAGACCACCAGCUAAGGUCCCAAAAUAUAUGUUAAGUGGAAAAGGAUGUGGCGUUGCCCAGACAACUAGGAUGUUGGCUUAGAAGCAGCCAUCAUUUAAAGAGUGCGUAAUAGCUCACUAGUCGAGUGACACUGCGCCGAAAAUGUACCGGGGCUAAACAUAUUACCGAAGCUGUGGAUUGUCCUUUGGACAAUGGUAGGAGAGCGUUCUAAGGGCGUUGAAGCAUGAUCGUAAGGACAUGUGGAGCGCUUAGAAGUGAGAAUGCCGGUGUGAGUAGCGAAAGACGGGUGAGAAUCCCGUCCACCGAUUGACUAAGGUUUCCAGAGGAAGGCUCGUCCGCUCUGGGUUAGUCGGGUCCUAAGCUGAGGCCGACAGGCGUAGGCGAUGGAUAACAGGUUGAUAUUCCUGUACCACCUAUAAUCGUUUUAAUCGAUGGGGGGACGCAGUAGGAUAGGCGAAGCGUGCGAUUGGAUUGCACGUCUAAGCAGUAAGGCUGAGUAUUAGGCAAAUCCGGUACUCAUUAAGGCUGAGCUGUGAUGGGGAGA